CGGAGAUGGCGACCGGCGCACGGGUGAGUAACACGUAUCCAACCUGCCGAUAACUCGGGGAUAGCCUUUCGAAAGAAAGAUUAAUACCCGAUGGUAUAAUCAGACCGCAUGGUCUUGUUAUUAAAGAAUUUCGGUUAUCGAUGGGGAUGCGUUCCAUUAGGCAGUUGGUGAGGUAACGGCUCACCAAACCUUCGAUGGAUAGGGGUUCUGAGAGGAAGGUCCCCCACAUUGGAACUGAGACACGGUCCAA
rnacentral:rRNA from 1 species